UCUUUUUUUUCAGCAUAUCUAAUUCAUGAGUAUGGCAGCCACCAAUUCCAAUUUAAGAAUUGCAGGAGAAGCUGGUUUUUGGGCAGGAGUAGCAGUUUGGCCAGAAUCUAGCGUAUGGCGGCGUGUAUUUAUUCAUGUCUUAUUCAAGAGUAUGGCAGCCACCAAUUCCAAUUUUAGAAAUGCAGGAGUAGCUGGUUUUUGGGCAGGAGUAGCAGUUUGACCAAAUCUAGCGUGUGGCGGCGUGUGUUUAUGGUUAUUAAUUGCAAUUUGCGUUCAAAAAUAUUUUUACCGUGUUUAUAUCUCUUUUUUUUUGUUUCAGCAUGUUUAAUUCAGGCGUAUUACAAACACCAAAUUCCAACUAGGAAAUAAGAGGCAGGAGUAGCUGAUUUUUGAAGCCACAUCUGCAUUUGCUGCGCCGCCGAGACAAUCAAUUAUACAGAAGCAAAGGUAAGUUGAACGUUGAUGUUUAUGGUUUUAGUACAGAAAGAUUCUAAUCGUGCUUUAUUUCCUAUUUUUAGCAUGGCCGGAUCAGUCCUAUGGCAGCCACCGAAUCCAACACGGAAACGUGCGACAGGAAUAGCUGAUUUCGGGGCCACAUGCUGGACUUUCUGAAUCGCCGAGGCAAGGAUUGAGCAGGAAACAAAGAAUAGUUAACCUGUAUUCAUAGUUUUUAAUUGUUAUUUGCGUGCGUUGUUUUAAAACGCCUCCGAUCAAAAAUAAGUUCAACGUUAAAUUUGUGGGUUUUAACAGCAAUUUGCAUACAAAGAUAUUUAACUGUGUUUUAUUGUUUCUUUUUUAGCGUGACAAGAUUAGAGCUGUGGCAGCCAACGGAUUCAAAAGGAAACCAGAGGCAGGAAAAGCUGUUUUCAGGGCAAUGUGCAGAAUUUACUGAGCCGCCGAUGCAAGAUAAUGAGCUAAUAAAUUUGAGACUGCAGUGAAAGAUCGUUUUACCUGAAUGUUCUUGCUUCUUUUUGGCCAUUAGAAGACAACAAUUGCCGACAAUC